UACAUUUGUUUUUUUAACUGGAAUAGAGAGAUGCUUUUCUCCACAUGUUUCAAAAGCCAGAGCAUAUCCUUUAAACAAUGCCUUAUAACUUGAACGAUGAACAGAAAAAUAAGGACAGCUGCUGUGUUUACUCUAUGAGUUAUUCUAAUUUUUGUAGAACUACGUGGAUAUUGCCAGUGAUAUCUAUCUAUUCUUGCAUAAUUAUUGCCAACAAGUAUCAUUCCAAUGUUAGACAUACUCAUUGUAACAACUGGCAGUUUCUGGCUUCUGUAUCGGCUUCAGUAGGCGAACCUCCAGAGAAAUAUAUUUUUCGUUUAGGAAUAGGUCUAUAUUCGUCUAUGAAAAUAAUUGUAGACUGCUGCAAUUAUUUGUUGACCAGAAACUAUUUAGAAUGUAGACAGGCAAAAAUUCUUCGCCUUAAAAGAGGAUUGGAAUUCUGGAAUAUAGUGUCGCUGAUUACAGCUCUGCUAGAAGACUUUAUGUUGUAUUUGCUGACAUUUGUAGGCAGUAAAGAAAAUUUUUUCGUUCACCAGUUUGGAUUUUCUUCGUUUAUGUUAUUGGCACACAUUCACUUCCUCUGUUCAAUCAUCUGCUACCUGAAGAGCCAUUAUCCGUUGGCUGAAAAAGAUAAGAGAUAUCUGAAAGUUAAGGUUGCUAUUGCUAUGGGACACUGCGCCUCUUUCCUAGCGUGCAUAUAUUUUUAUUGGAGGCAUAUGCGUUUUUGCGAAGUAGGAAUUUAUUCUCUUUUUUCGCUAGCAGAAUACUUGGUCAUUGGAUUUAACAUUAUGUUUCACACGCAUAAACAACUAGAAUGGAAGAAUUGUAGCAUCUUCCUUGUCAAUACUAAUACUUGGGCUCUCCGAGACAGCUUAGACCGAGUGGUUACUGAUAAUGAUAAUCUUAGAGCUAAUAGCGAGGAGCAUGUAUAAAAUGUGUGAUAUACAAAUACAUGCGAAAAAGCGAAGCUUAAAUGCUGAAGCGACACGAGCGGACGAGUAUCAUCGAGAGGUUGACACUAUGAUUGGUCAUCCCAGUCCAGCAUGCUAAGGCAUACGACACCACCUAAGCAUCCUGUUGCGACUUGAUUUUGACCGGGGUUCCAGUCAGAGCAAAGUAUCGGAGAGGUAUGGUCCCCAACACCGAGAAUUGGAUGAGAAAGUUCGUAAUAGUAAAUGUAGCCAAAAUUGUUUUUAGAAGAUGUAAUAAAAUAUUUGCCUGACUCAUCGAAACUCAUGUCGACCUUUUUUGCGAAUUUUGAGUUGCCAGGGUGCGAAUAGUGUUCGGCAAUUUUUCCUGGAACUUGAAGACACCACCUUAACAACAUCCCCUGGGAGUCAAUUGAAUAGAUAUUGGUUUCGUCGUAGGCAUACUUGGCGUUCAAAAUUGAGCCAUUAUGUCCUUUCCAAGACAUUAUAGGCUUUAAGCCAUUCAAAUCGAAUAUGCGUAUGUAUCCAUCGGACAUUCCGAGAAGAGCCAUACUGGCAUUGUGAUUGUAGAUGAUAGAGUUGACACCGGCAUCUAGCUCGAUACGAUCCAAAAGCUGCAGAGUCCUUAAAUCAACUGUUUGAACGGUGCCUGAGGUUUUGGGACCGCUAUGCCCAGAGGUGGAACAUGAGAUAAAAUUGCCAGCAAGAGGACACACAAUAUCGGAUAUUCGCUGAUGUGGAGUUAUAGAGACUUUGCCGACAUUCUUGGCGUGAUCGACAUCCCAAAGUUUAAUGAUGCCGUUCCCUGUGCCAGAAAAUAUCAAAUGUCCUGAUCUGUUCCAUUCCAAAGCUGUGAUAUCGAACGUUUUUUUAAAUGUGAUAGUUUUUUGCUUCGAUGAACGGACAUGAAGAAAGCCAGUAUGCGUGCCGAAGGCGAGGGAAUUGCCAUCGCAGGAGUACUUACAGCAGACGAUAGGAGCCCCGACUAAAAUAGAAGUGGUUUUCGCUACCUUAAGCAGUUUAGAGGAAAAGUGUUGUAUUUUUGAAUCAAUUAGCGUGGUUGCGGUCGUUUCUGAAAUCUUAGUAUCUUUACAUAAAGGCGCGCCAUCCGGCUUGAGGUCGGUUUUUGUCUUGGUUUCUGGAUUUGAAGGCAAUGCCAGUUGGUCUUGGCUCUGUGGAGCGGAAAGGACCGGAUUCGUUACAGAAGCAACAGCAGAAUGAUGGAAAUUUGGCUCUAAUCUUUGAUUUAGCUGAGCAGACGGCUGCUGAUAAAAUGGCUGAUCUGGCUCGAGUGAUUUACUAUCAUUAUGUUCGGCCGAUUUAAAUCUCUCUA